UCCCUGGUGGCCUAGUGGUUAAGACUCAGCACUUUCACUGCUGAGGCUCAGGUUCAAUCCCUGGUCGGGGAA
rnacentral:tRNA from 1 species